GAGAUCGGUGAAGAGCCAGUGCGUGUGGCUCUUAUGUUUCUGUUAGCCCUUUAGAUGAUUUCAGAAAAUGUUUUUCACUUCUGGCUCUGUGGUCAUGAUGAUAGAAAAGGAAGAGAGACCAAUCCCAGUGCAUCCUGUGCCGAGGAGCAGGGUUGUAUUCCUCGCUUUGAAAGAGUUUUUUUAACUAAUUAAUUUUUGGGGAAGGGAUGAGCAAAUUCACUCAGCUUUUAAAGAAAUUCAUAGAAAAUUUUCCCACAGUAUUAGUUAAGGAAAAAAAAGAAAGCAAAGAAUUGUCAUUUUCCCAAGGCAUUGCUAUAGUCAAAAAAGGAAAAAUCUGGGAGCUUCUGAUCUUGUCCUGGACAGAAUUCACUAAAAGCCAGAACCUCAUUAACUGCAGCUUCAUUUCCACCUUCUUUAGGGUAGGAAUGUUUGUGCUACAGAGUCCUGUGGAAGUUCAGGCUGGUUCCCACUGGUGUCUGAGAAAUUGCAUCCAAAACUCUAGCAUGCUAUUAUUUCUAUAUAAUCUGUUCAUCUUGUCUGGUUGAGGAAUUGGAUGAAAAGUCGAGAUAGUAAUACUAUUUUAGAGUUUACAAAAGUGAAUCAUAGACUGUGUUAUCAUGUAUUUAUUUCACUAUGUGUGAGACAACCUAUUAAAGUCACAUAUUUGAGUCAGAAGUUGAUCUCCUGACACUUAGGGCCACCAAAACCAUCACUGCCAAAAAAUAAUGUGAAGGAGACAGGUCAAGAGGACCGCGGUGACAUAUCUGGAUGAUUAUGAUAGAUCCUAACAUCUUGAGAAGUAAAUUUAUUCACAAAAACUCUGGCAAAUGUGCCUUGAUCUGCCUCUCAGACAGCACCACGUGCCUGAAGUGAAGUGGAGAGUGUGUUUGCUCCUUUAUAAAAUGAGGCGAUUGGACCAGCUGUUGGUUUGGGAAAGAUGUUGUGUGGGCCCUUCCUGUCCUUUCUGGGGUUUGUGAUCACAGUGGAAGCGCAGCACUUUCACCCUCGACCUUACGGAUUCAUUGUCAUCUUGUCCUUGGCGGGCCUGUCAAAAAGAAGUAAUUUCGAAAGCAUAUCGCUGAUUGUACAUUUCAUUCCAUCAAGUGCUCAUGUAACUGCUGGAGGCCUCUGAGAUAAGAGUAGAAAAGUGCCCUGUGCCCUUCCGAGCAGUGGGUGAUCUAUUUUUGACUUGGAGACUGGUGACAAACCUGUCUUCUGUCAGGUCAAACUCACAGGGACUUUCUUGUUUUCUGUUCUUCUGUUGACAGCUGUGUCCAUGCUCAGUAUGGUCAUAGGGUAGUGGAAAGAUAGCUCUGGCAUUUAAACACCUAGAUAGGAAGGGGCGAUGGAAUGUAUUUUUCUUUGCUAUUUUGGUCAGCAAGUCCCUAGGAGUCCAUAAUGAGUGGUGAAGAAGUGAGGAGAGACCUCUGGGAGGAUGGGCAGGAAAAGACGCCCAGCUCCUGGUUUGGGAGACACAGAGCGAGAGACAUUUCUACCACUGGUGGCUUUAGUGUCUGGAAAGGGAAUGACUGGAAGGAAAAUGGAAAAUGAAGGAUGGAUUUGAGAAAGAACUCUGCACUAGGAGUCGAGCUGGGACACUUAGUUCUCCCACUGCAUUGCUGUGUGACCUUGGGAAGAUCACUUCACCACUCUGGAGCUGUGAAACACAGGGAACGGACUACAUCUUAAAUGAGAGAGGAUUUCUUGCAAUGUUAACAUUUUGUGACUUUAAAUUUCAUUCUGUGAUUGCUGCUUUUGAAGAAAACGUUCUGUCAACAUUUAACGUACAUACAGAAGAGUGGACAAAUCGUAUGUGCACAGCUCGUUGAAUUUACACCCUUCUAAUCAGCCCUAGAUUAAGAAAUAAAAUGUUAUCAACAUUCUAGAA